rnacentral:rRNA from 1 species
UACAGAGGGUGCAAGCGUUAAUCGGAGUUACUGGGCGUAAAGGGCGCGUAGGCGGAGAUGCAAGUGAGAUGUGAAAUCCCUGGGCUUAACCUAGGAAUUGCAUAUUAGACUGUGUUUCUGGAGUACAGUAGAGGGUGGUGGAAUUUCCGGUGUAGCGGUGAAAUGCGUAGAGAUCGGAAGGAACAUCAGUGGCGAAGGCGACCACCUGGACUGAAACUGACGCUGAGGCGCGAGAGCGUGGGUAGCAAACAGG